UGCCACAUCCAGCACACAGAGCAUUCACAAAGAUUAGGCCAAUUGAAAAAGUGCCUCUAGGUGAAUUAGUAUUGCUCAAUUGUUUGAGCAUGCCAUCUCCUACACCAAAGACACAGUACUGGGCCUGCCUAUGAAGUUUUGUACAUAUUCAUUUUUGGACAUUUUAAGAGAUGUGGGGUUUUGCAAUAGCUUCUCUGUUGUAACUCCACUCCCAUCUGUGCUUCAACACAAGCUGAUACCUUUCUGGGCUGCACAUUCCAGCCAUAACUGUAAACAUUCCAAUACUCAAAGUCUUCACUUGGAUGAGAUAUAACCAACAACAAGUCAAUACUUGAAGUAUCAAUUUGUUCUUUCUCAGACGGGGCUGGAGUUGAGACGAACAUAAACCUCAGAUCACUUAUUCAAACCUCUCGUUGAUGGCAAACAACAAAAACAACUAAGAGACACAAGGACUGAUUUACCAUGCUGUGUUCAAGUACUACAGGAUAAUGGGCAGUGUACAAAUGAGAAAAUGGGAGACAAAUGGAUGCUACUAAGCACAUAUUCAAAUGGUCAUAUUACUUACUCUAAACCAGGCACUCCCUCAUCUCAGCUACUUUGCAGAAAAAAAUCCUCUGUGCAUAUACUCAAAAAAUGAGUAAGGAGCGGCAAGUAGGAAGGAAAAAGAGUGCGUCACGCCAGGGGAGAAGUAGAACGGGGGGAGGAUGGUUGGCAGGGCAGAAACAGAAAUGUUGCUGUUGGCAUAAGCCUCUGUAUUGUUCUUGUGAGUUGAACUAUUUAACUCUGAAACUACUGAAUUAUAUUAAACAUCAAAAUUCUAAACUAUUGCUUUUCCUUAGUGAAGAACAGUUCAAAAUGACCAAAACAAAGUGAGAUUUUGAACAAUACAAUAAGAAACCAUUUCCUAUGGAUAACAGAUAAGGCUGUGGCAGGCCUCACCUCUACUUCAGCAGCCUAAGGGUUAGCCAUAGCUAGUGCUGUAACUAAAACACACAGCACAGGGUAAAGCUUUGCUCAAGUUACAGUCCUCCUUCAGUGAGCCACAGGAUGGGUGAGUCAUGUGUUCAAGGACUUGGGCGCUUCACUGUUGUGGGCACAUUUCCAUUUUCUGAUUUCCAUGAGGCCACAGAAAACACUAAAAUGGCUUCCCUGAUUCAGAUGAUGGUUGCACCAACAUGACCCUAAAUCAUCCUAGCACAGCAAACCUUGAAUCACUUCACUCAUUGCACAAGUUUCUCCAUUUAUUUGAGGUUUAGCACUGUACUUUCAUAGAUCUGUAUGUAGAUAAGAUUAAUAAAGACAUUGUUUUAACAUGAAGGAAUCUUGAUAAAUGUUUCUGAAAUGUCAUCCUUGUACAAAGUCUAAACCAACAAGGACAAUACAAGAGUCUAUGCAGAUUUCAAAGACAAAAGGUCAUUUACCAGAGGCUGGAAAAAAUAAAAAUCAAUGUCUAGGAUACAUGAGAUAACAUUUUACCAGUCUUUAUAAAGCACACUGGAUAAUAAUCUUGGAAGACAAAUAUUUACCUCUUUGAAAUAAGGUACCCAUGGUUUCUCAAUGCUAUAUUACCUUAUAUGCAGCAUUUUGCCAAACUGAAAUUGCUGAAUAAAAAUAUACUUAAUUACUUGCCGGUCUCUGGUACACCACUGCUUGAGCUCCAGAGA